AUUGAACGCUGGCGGCAGGCCUAACACAUGCAAGUCGAGCGGAUGAAGGGAGCUUGCUUCUGGAUUCAGCGGCGGACGGGUGAGUAAUGCCUAGGAAUCUGCCUGGUAGUGGGGGAUAACGUCCGGAAACGGGCGCUAAUACCGCAUACGUCCUGAGGGCGAAAGUGUGGGAUCUUCGGACCUCACGCUAUCAGAUGAGCCUAGGUCGGAUUAGCUAGUUGGUGGGGUAAAGGCCUACCAAGGCGACGAUCCGUAACUGGUCUGAGAGGAUGAUCAGUCACACUGGAACUGAGACACGGUCCAGACUCCUACGGGAGGCAGCAGUGGGGAAUAUUGGACAAUGGGCGAAAGCCUGAUCCAGCCAUGCCGCGUGUGUGAAGAAGGUCUUCGGAUUGUAAAGCACUUUAAGUUGGGAGGAAGGGCAGUAAGUUAAUACCUUGCUGUUUUGACGUUACCAACAGAAUAAGCACCGGCUAACUUCGUG
rnacentral:rRNA from 1 species